GCCACUGUGAUGAAGGGAAGAAGUAGCCUGCGUGCCUGCUGCACAGAGAACCCCUGGUUGGUGAAAAGGGGAGAGCGCCGCCGGUAAAGUUACCUCCUGGAGCAGCUGCCUGAACCUCCUAUCCUCUGGGGAGAAGUAGGGUAUGUCGGGAGCGCCCGUUAUCGCGCAGGAGGUUUGACCGGAAACCGUCAGACCCGCUGAGGCCUCUUUCGUGAGAAAGGGGUAAAUAGAGGUGGUACCACGAUAUUUGUCGUCCUCUGU
rnacentral:ncRNA from 1 species